UCCCUGAUAGCUCAGUUGGUAAAGAAUCUGCCUGCAAUGCAGGAGACCCUGCUUCGAUUCCUGGGUUGGGAA
rfam:TPA: Bos taurus chromosome X, whole genome shotgun sequence.